rnacentral:piRNA from 1 species
UCCCUGUACAACGAGGCGUUCUAUGGAC